rnacentral:rRNA from 1 species
AGAGUUUGAUCCUGGCUCAGAACGAACGCUGGCGGCGUGCCUAACACAUGCAAGUCGAACGUGAAAGUCCUUCGGGAUGAGUAAAGUGGCGCACGGGUGAGUAAUGCGUAGAUAAUCUGCCUGGUGAUCUGGGAUAACAUCUCGAAAGGGGUGCUAAUACCGGAUAAGCCCACGGAGUCUUCGGACUUUGCGGGAAAAGGGGGGGACCUUCGGGCCUUCUGUCACCAGAUGAGUCUACGUACCAUUAGCUAGUUGGUGGGGUAAGAGCCCACCAAGGCUACGAUGGUUAGCUGGUCUGAGAGGAUGAUCAGCCACACUGGAACUGAGACACGGUCCAGACUCCUACGGGAGGCAGCAGUGGGGAAUUUUGCGCAAUGGGGGAAA